UCACCUUUUAAAACUUCAGCAAGACCCUCUUGAGCCUCGUUCCUUGUGACAUUUGUAUUAAUCCCAAGACCACUGCGGUAUGCAGCUAUGCUUUUUAAGCCAACAAUUUUGCAAGGAUAUGACUUUAACUUCCCAGUAAAUGUUUCAGUGAAAGUGUCCAAUGUCCAGGUAGAUCCAUCUGGCCUUCCCUAAAGAACAAAUAAUUAUUGACAAUAAUAUACGAGUUAGAAAACAAAAACGGAAAGAAAACCCAGAUACUAAAACCUCAAAGCCUUUGAUGUUGUUCUGUUUGUUCAAUACCACAGAUAGAUGGACAAAGCAAAUCUUGAUGAACAAAUAAAUACAGAUAAACAAACCCCCAACAAAAACCGUGCUAUGUGUUAUGGACUACCACAACUUAAGAUAAGCAAUAAAUCAAUUAGACCGUGAAUCUACAAGUCAACCAAACUAUUUUUGUGAAUAACUUAUUAGCACAAACUUUGAUGUCCGAUUUAUAUUGCACAAGGAUUUCGAAAGACGGAAUUGUUCUCUUCCCUUUUCAAAAAGAAUUUUUCAAAAAAUUCCCCCUAGAUUCCCCCUACUUUCAACAUUUCUCUCUCUAUCUCUCUCCACUCAUUACCCCUACUAUUUUUCAAAAAAAAAUUCAAACACCAAUCCAAACAACCCAAAAAAACUGUUAUCUAAACUAUGGAAGUAUCUAACUAAUAACUACUAAAAAUAAAGGAGACUUCAAUUUUAAGUUUGUGUGGGAUCACCAAUGAUCACUGGCAAGUGGCAAUGGAAUGUAAUCAGCUGCUGCACUUUUAUUCUGGAAUGGCAAAGAUGGCAAGAGCACAAAAUCUUGCAACGCAUAAGGAUGAGAAAGCCAAUUACAUUGCCUUCCAAUGCAAAUGGCAGCAUCAAGAGCAUUACUUUUUAUAGCAGUAAACAUUUGCAUUCUUCCAAUUUCCAAAAUUUCUAGAUGUCAAGAGAAAGGGUACCUCACAACUCUCCUACUCAAUUGCAUUGGACAUAUCAAGGAACCCCAGCAUAAAAUUUAAGUUCAUAUUCACAUAUACUGUAUUUCCAAAACUAUGCC